rnacentral:rRNA from 1 species
GAUGAACGCUGGCGGCGUGCCUAAUACAUGCAAGUCGAGCGAACAGACGAGGAGCUUGCUCCUCGGACGUUAGCGGCGGACGGGUGAGUAACACGUGGAUAACCUACCUAUAAGACUGGGAUAACUUCGGGAAACCGGAGCUAAUACCGGAUAAUAUAUUGAACCGCAUGGUUCAAUAGUGAGAGACGGUGUUGCUGUAACUUAUAGAUGGAUCCGCGCCGCAUUAGGUGGUUGGGAAGGUAACGGCUUACCAAGGCAACGAUGCGUAGCCGACCUGAGAGGCUGGUCGGCCACACUGGAACUGAGACACGGUCCAGACUCCUACGGGAGGCACCAGUAGGGAAUCUUCCGCAAUGGGCGAAAGCCUGACGCAGCAACGCCGCGUGAGUGAUGAAGGUCUUCGGAUCGUAAAACUCUGUUAUUAGUGAAGAACAACUGUGUAAGUAACUAUGCACGUCUUGACGGUACCUAAUCAGAAAGCCACGGCUAACUACGUG